rnacentral:misc_RNA from 1 species
AUCAGGCCCAAUGCAAGCCUAGCAUUAAAACAAACACAAAGGGCCUAGGCCAACCCAAAUUUCUUAAAAAAUUUUUAUUUUUCAUAAAAAUUAAUAAUUAUCUGCUAUAAUUAUUGAAAUUUUAUUAAUAAAUAUAACAAUAACAUUCAAUCUAAAUAUAUAAUUUUUGCAUUUCUAAUAUAUGUACGAAUACACUUUUAAUACAAACCCAACUCCUUGGACUUAGUCCCUUAAAUUUUCCAAGCCAAACAGUGGUUCGCCCAUGCCCAUCCCUAGGUUAGAGGGGUAGACCAAAUUAGAACUCAAACAAAUGCUAGACCCUGCCAACCUUGCAAUUUCCAAGAGGGAACUUAGGCCCAACCAUAACCAGUCAACCAAGUUAAUCAAGUUUGACAAGGAAGUCCUGUAUUUGAGAUGGAAGAUUGUCA